GUGCUCACUUUGGCAGCACAUAUAGUAAAAUUGGAAUGAUGCAGAGAAGAUUAGCAUGGCCCCUGUUCAAGGAUAACACACAAAUUCAUGAAGUGUUCCAUAUUUUA